UGGCUGCAACCUAAAUGAGCCAGAUGCGUAGAGAGCUUGAUAAACCGGGCGGAUUCUCACAGUCAAUAUAACAGUCAGCAGAGUUCCAAGGCCACAAACUCCGGCUAGAACCAAGAACGUUUCCCUGAAGCAAUCAGGACCAACGCAGGUAGGAUUCCCUUGCUUCUCCGCUUCCUUGUCGUAUAUGUAUCCUGCAAGAAGGGCCGAGAAUAUGGUGGCUCCUAUCGGGUUACCCAAGAGUAUCACGUUGUAGUUGAUCCCAAAAUGUCUAAGACCAAAGAGCUCCGAUAUGGUGGCGAUUGAUAAGAACUGAAACCCCAUGCCUAUCCCGAUAAGAGCAGUCGCCACGUAGAUGGUGUGGUCGAUGGCCAUGUAGAAGAGGAGGAAUGUGAACACCAUAACCAGCUGCGCAGCUCCCAUCCACAGUGUUCUUGGAAGCGUUCUUGACCUGAGAUAAUCAUAUGACACGGUUCGUUCUGAGAAACUGUUUUGAGUGAUAAAUGAGAUGAGAGAGAGAUUCUUACUUGACAAAGUGCUCAGAUAUGGCACCUGAGGCGAGACGGCCUAUGAAGUUGAAGAAGCUAAAGAGGCAGAGGAGUAUUGUAGUAUCCUUAAUACCAAAAGCAUACCCGAUCUGUGCCAAGUUGUUUGAGACCGUAACACCUGAACCCAUGCCUAGGAAAUAGACAAACCAAAGCAGCCAAAAAUCAGCCUUGACAAAGACUUGGCCAAUCUUGAAAUCCUCCCCUCUCCUAGGCUUCCUCUUCUUCUUAACCGCACCUUCUCCUUCAGCGAGAAGUAUCUCCAUAUCAUCAUCUUCUUCGAAGAGAGCCCCUAGGUUUGGAUCUGAGGUAGAAGUUAUCAGCAGUGGUUCCUCACCUUCCUCUUUAGCUAAAUUGUCUGAAGAACCCGGUAAAGAUCUUUGAGCAUUCGAACGGAACAGCGUCAUCUUGAUGGGAACCGCAAGAGGCGAGAACAAGAACAACACCAUGACAGCCACAAGAACGUAUCUAAGCACGCUUGGAAGUGAAUACACCUCACUAAGUACAGUCGUCACAACAAGGUAAGCAGCGAGGAGGAUACUUGUUCCGAGGAGAAAAGCUAAAUAAACUGGCUCGGAAGGGUCUUCACCGGUGGCAGGGAUACAAGGACGGACGAAAUACAUGACAGCUAAGCACAAAACCGGAAUACCAACGGUGAGAAACAGAAGCAGAUCCGAAGCUGAAUGGUGAAGCAAGACGCUGAACAAGACGGUGAACGCUGCACCACUGAUCCCAGUUAAGCCUUUGAGAAGUCCCGCCACAGAGCCUCUGCUCAUAGGAAAGUUCCUCAUAUUGGUUACAAGAGACGCUGUGCUGAACCAUGAGCAGCUAUUUGUAGCCACAACAAGAGCUAUAAACAGCUGUCAACAACAAACAAAGAUACUAACUUUAUGAGUUCACUGAUCAAAAGAUACUAACUUAAUGAGUUCACUGAUCAAAAGAUACUAACUUUAUGAGUUCACUGAUCAAAAGAUACUAACUUUAUGAGUUCACUGAUCAAAAGAUACUAACUUAAUGAGUGAUCAAAAGAUACUAACUUAAUGAGUUCACUGAUCAAAAGAUCUACACUUUAUGAGUUCACUGAUCAAAAGAUACUAACUUUAUGAGUGAUCAAAAGAUACUAACUUAAUGAGUUCACUGAUCAAAAGAUCUACACUUUAUGAGUUCACUGAUCAAAAGAUACUAACUUUAUGAGUUCACUGAUCAAAAAAUCUAAACUUUAUGUAAAAUGGAUGUGAUUCUCACCAGCCAGAAAGGCAAGCCGUUAACGAUUUGGCUGACGGAGAGCCAGAGGACGCCGUAACCGAGGAAACAAGAGGAGACGCCGAUGAGAAGCAUCGCCCAAGGAGCGAGCUUGUUACUUGCGUACCCUGGGAGGAGACCCAUGUUCUCCCCGAGAUCACAAGCCACGCCGAGGAGCGUGACCUGCUGCUGGUUAAACCCUAAAACCAAUUUGAGAGCGGAGGAGUAAAGAGGGAAAGUUGAAGCGUUUCCCGCCGACAUCUGAACCCAUACGGCGGCUGCUAGCCCCACCCACGGUGGUCGGCUUCCCGUUUUCUCGACCAGCUUCGGCAUCUCUCCGAUCUAUCACUCUCUCUCUCUCCCCUUGGGAUUCAAAACUGCUUUGCUUUAAAAGCAGAGAGGAGCUAAAUCAAUAUAAGGCCACUCUUUAAUCUUCAGUCUUUAUACAGUAUUAAUAAUGUGUUUACAUAUUUAAUGCAUAUACGUUUUAUACGAGUUCUUAUUUUAUUACAAAAGCGUGAAUCUUGAGACGUUCUUACAUUACUUUUUGAAACUAAUCAUGUUUAAAAAUCUUACUAUAAUUUAAUUGCAAGCAGUUGACCAGAAAAUAUUAUUAUUAUUAUUAUUAUUAUUAUUAUUAUUAUUAUUAUUAUUAUUAUUAUUAUUAUUUGUUCUUACUAUUUAUGUUAUACAAAAUAAAAAUAAAAACUUGGAAAAUCUAUUUGUUUUAAUUUUGAACUUCAAGCAAAACAAGUCGAUAUUUUUAUUUCUAACUUACUGAAUUUGAUUAAAAACACGUUUUGGAUAUUUUUCAUUUGCUAAAACAUAGGAUAUUUUCCUUUUAGAUCUUUAUUUUAUUAUAAUAUACACAUAAAGCUUUACAAAAAUACACAAAGCAAAACGGAAUAAUUUGUUGUCAUGCGAAGAUUUUGUGCGUGAACACGUGAGUUCAUUGCUAUUGGCUUUGGUCUUGACGACCUCGUUUCUUAAUUACUUUAAUAAACUAACCAUUUUCAUAAUUUAAUACUUAUAUAGGGUAUAGUAUUAUACUAUUAGAUAGGAAUAUAGGAUACCUCCUAGGAGGAUUCACAUAGAACUUUUUUUGGUUUUCUUAAUAAACAGAAACGAAAACAAUGCAUCGAGUCAAAAACAGACAAAUAAAGAUGAUACGCAAAAAUCUUACCUAUUUUUAAAUGACAAAGACACGAGGACUCUGCACCGGCCUCGAUGCACUAAUACCAAUCCAACACGUACUAAUUUAAGUAAAUUUCACAUUUGUCUUAGUAUCAUUUAAGGUGGGACUUGUUUGUUACUCGUUGCCAGACGAUGCAUUCAUUUCAGUCUUAAAAAUCAUUGAAUGGUUUCUUUAUAACAAACCUACCCAUCUCUCGACCAUAGAAUGUCAACCUGUGUGGUUGAUAUAUCUAUGAUCCCUGAUAUACAAGAACAACACCUGAUUACUAAAGAGCAGCAUAAGAGUGUUUAAGACGAAUUCAUUUCUAAACAUAAUUUAUUUAUUUAGAGCAUAUCAUUAACGUAUUAAAAAUAAAAAUAGAACAUAGAUGCUCGCCCACUAAAAAAAACGGACCGUAUAGGUCCAACGUGAACACUACGUUGAUCGCACCCAUCAUCUGGUGGGGUUAACCUACCCUGCGUUCACUUGGCACACAAAGUUUUUGUAAAAUCUAUUUGUCAUUAGUACCAAAGUUACAACUAAACAUCUUUUUUUUUAAUUGAAUGUUAAAUUUUAUUCAACCAAAAAACCUUUUGUUCAAUGUUUCAUAUGAAAGAAUAAGUUUAUUACUUUUUAUAACCUACUCUCUAUUUUCUUGUAACUGGCCUUGUUGAGAACCAGUAUCUAAGACCAUCUUCCAAACGUGUGUCUCCUGUUCUUUAUACUGAGGUAAAUCUGUUUCUUAUAUUUCUCCAGGAUUCUCAGUGUUGCUGUAGUUAAAGGCUUCUCUCCAUGCUUUCUUCCAUUUCUUUCCAUCCAUAUGCCAUGAAUAGCUAAACAUCUUAACAGUAUUCAGUAUAUUUUGUUUUCAUCUAAUAAAAUCAUUCUAUGAAAUCUUGUAUAUUCGUUUGUGUUAUUGACAGAGUACAGGGCAAAACAUAUAUACAAUAGAGUUUAUUAAGUCGUAUCCGGAAAAUAUAUAUAGACAUAGAUCUUGAUUCCAAUACCCUCUCUCAAGUAAGUGGUAUGAAAUUUAGAACACCUAACUUCGACAGAAGCAUCUCAAAUGUUGACCUUAGAAGAGCUUUAGUAAACACAUCAACAACUUAGUACUUUGUGGCUAUGUGUUUUUGCGAUGAUACCAUGAAAUCUUGUAUAUUCACUUGUAUUAUUAACAACCAGACUACUUGGCAGAAAUAUAUAUACAAUAGAGUUUCCUCUUCCGAUCAGAAAAGAGUUUUUAGGUGUCGUAUCAAGAAAAUAUAUCAGCGUGUAGAAACUAUCAGCGUGUUUUGGAAUCACAUACGUUGGAUUAAGACCACUUGCUAAGACUCAAAAGCUGGAGUUGCUUGUGGUUGAAGAUUGUCUUCAGGUUUCAAGAAGAGGUGUUCAUGGUAGUGCAGCGUCUAUAUCUUUUAGGCAAGACUUGAUUCUUGUCUCUUGACAAGAGAGAGUCAAAUCCAGUAAAUUGUUGUUUAUGUGUAUCUGUCAACAGUGGCGAUAAACAACACUGAUACAAACAACAUCACAACACGAUCAUGAAGCCGUUACAAAAUGUUCUUCCAACCAGUUUUUAGCCGGUUGAACAGUAGUUUACAGAUGAAUAAAAGAAAAUUAACAAAUCUUAGAAUAUACCCACCCACCCACCCAAAAAAUAUGCUGCACGAUACAAUACAAUGCAAAGUAGAUAUAUCAUUUUAUUUCUUUGGUAUCAUCUUUCGUCUCUCUCUCUCACUUUCUUUGGAAGUAUCAAUGACCAGCUGAUUGCGGCUGCAACUUGAAUGAACCAGACGCAUAUAGAGCUUGAUAGACAGGGCGAAUUCUCACUGUCAAUAUAACAGUAAGCAGAGUUCCAAGGCCACAAACUCCGGCUAGAACCAAGAACGUUACUCUGAAGCAAUCCGGACCAAUGCAGGUAGGAUUCCCUUGCUUCUCCGCUUCCUUGUCGUAGAUGUAUCCGGCAAGAAGGGCCGAGAAAAGGCUGGCACCGAUCGGGUUAGCCAAGAGUAUGACGUUGAAGUUGAUCCCAAAAUGCCUAAGACCAAAUAGCUCCGAGAUGGUGGC
rnacentral:lncRNA from 1 species